UGAAGGUGCGAUGUUCCCUAAACUCA
rnacentral:misc_RNA from 1 species